UGAUGACUGUUCCUCUCACUGCUGCAAGCCUCAGAACAGUGGGAUUUUAUGUCAUCGGAUACUAAUGUGACCUUUCUUCACUCAAAAGUGUCUUUAGAUGGGUUGGCCAUCUGUGACACGGUUGAAUUUUGCGGGGUCACACAUUC
rnacentral:snoRNA from 1 species